CCUGCUAUGGUAUAACUUAGUGGCAGACGGGUGAGUAAUGUAUAGGAAUCUACCUAGUAGUACGGAAUAAUUGUUGGAAACGGCAACUAAUACCGUAUACGCCCUACGGGGGAAAAAUUUAUUGCUAUUAUAUGAGCCUAUAUUAGAUUAGCUAGUUAGUGGAGUAAUAGCCUACCAAGGCAAUGAUCUAUAGCUGAUCUGAGAGGAUGAUCAGCCACACUGGAACUGAGAUACGGUCCAGACUUCUACGGGAGGCAGCAGUGGGGAAUAUUGGACAAUGGGCGAAAGCCUGAUCCAGCCAUGUCGCAUGAGUGAAGAAGGCUUUUGGGUUGUAAAGCUCUUUUAGUGAGGAAGAUAAUGACGGUACUCACAGAAGAAGU
rnacentral:rRNA from 1 species